CUGGCCGACCUCAACCCCAUGUUAUCUGACACUGUUGCCUCCGGGGCGACCCGGCCUGCCUUCGGGCGAUUCGGGGCCCCGGGUGGACCAUUCAACUCUGCAUCUUUGCGUCUGAGUAAAUGAUUGAAUCAAUCAAAACUUUCAACAACGGAUCUCUUGGUUCUGGCAUCGAUGAAGAACGCAGCGAAAUGCGAUAAGUAAUGUGAAUUGCAGAAUUCAGUGAAUCAUCGAAUCAUUGAACGCACAUUGCGCCCCUUGGUAUUCCGAGGGGCAUGCCUGUUCGAGCGUCAUUACACCACUCAAGCCUCGCUUGGUAUUGGGCGCCGCGGUCCGCCGCGCGCCUCAAUGUUUCCGGCUGAGCUCUCUGUCUCUAAGCGUUGUGGUUAAAACUAUCCGCUUGCGAGAUCGGGGGGCGUCUGGCCGUUAAACCAUUACUCAAAGGUUGACCUCGGAUCAGGUAGGGAUACCCGCUGAACUUAAG
rnacentral:rRNA from 1 species